UUAAUUGAAGCCAAAAAAGAGGCAUAUCACUGUUAAUGAUAAUAAUGGGAUUUUGAAUAACCCAAUUAAA
rnacentral:tRNA from 1 species